rnacentral:rRNA from 1 species
AAUUUAACUUGGGAGUCAGAACAUGGGUGAUAAGGUCCGUGUUCGAAAGGGAAACAGCCCAGACCACCAGCUAAGGUCCCAAAAUAUAUGUUAAGUGGAAAAGGAUGUGGCGUUGCCCAGACAACUAGGAUGUUGGCUUAGAAGCAGCCAUCAUUUAAAGAGUGCGUAAUAGCUCACUAGUCGAGUGACACUGCGCCGAAAAUGUACCGGGGCUAAACAUAUUACCGAAGCUGUGGAUUGUCCGUAGGACAAUGGUAGGAGAGCGUUCUAAGGGCGUCGAAGCAUGAUCGCAAGGACAUGUGGAGCGCUUAGAAGUGAGAAUGCCGGUGUGAGUAGCGAAAGACGGGUGAGAAUCCCGUCCACCGAUUGACUAAGGUUUCCAGAGGAAGGCUCGUCCGCUCUGGGUUAGUCGGGUCCUAAGCUGAGGCCGACAGGCGUAGGCGAUGGAUAACAGGUUGAUAUUCCUGUACCACCUAGUAUCGUUUUAAUCGAUGGGGGGACGCAGUAGGAUAGGCGAAGCGUGCUAUUGGAUUGCACGUCCAAGCAGUAAGACUGAGUGUUAGGCAAAUCCGGCACUCAUAAGGUCAAGCUGUGAUGGGGAGAGGAAAUUGUUUCCUCGAGUCGUUGAUUUCACACUGCCAAGAAAAGCCUCUAGAUAGAUAACAGGUGCCCGUACCGCAAACCGACACAGGUAGUCAAGAUGAGAAUUCUAAGGUGAGCGAGCGAACUCUCGUUAAGGAACUCGGCAAAAUGACCCCGUAACUUCGGGAGAAGGGGUGCUCUUUAGGGUUAACGCCCAGAAGAGCCGCAGUGAAUAGGCCCAAGCGACUGUUUAUCAAAAACACAGGUCUCUGCUAAACCGUAAGGUGAUGUAUAGGGGCUGACGCCUGCCCGGUGCUGGAAGGUUAAGAGGAGUAGUUAGCUUCUGCGAAGCUACGAAUCGAAGCCCCAGUAAACGGCGGCCGUAACUAUAACGGUCCUAAGGUAGCGAAAUUCCUUGUCGGGUAAGUUCCGACCCGCACGAAAGGCGUAACGAUUUGGGCACUGUCUCAACGAGAGACUCGGUGAAAUCAUAGUACCUGUGAAGAUGCAGGUUACCCGCGACAGGACGGAAAGACCCCGUGGAGCUUUACUGUAGCCUGAUAUUGAAAUUCGGCACAGCUUGUACAGGAUAGGUAGGAGCCUUUGAAACGUGAGCGCUAGCUUACGUGGAGGCAUUGGUGGGAUACUACCCUAGCUGUGUUGGCUUUCUAACCCGCACCACUUAUCGUGGUGGGAGACAGUGUCAGGUGGGCAGUUUGACUGGGGCGGUCGCCUCCUAAAAGGUAACGGAGGCGCUCAAAGGUUCCCUCAGAAUGGUUGGAAAUCAUUCAUAGAGUGUAAAGGCAUAAGGGAGCUUGACUGCGAGACUUACAAGUCGAGCAGGGUCGAAAGACGGACUUAGUGAUCCGGUGGUUCCGCAUGGAAGGGCCAUCGCUCAACGGAUAAAAGCUACCCCGGGGAUAACAGGCUUAUCUCCCCCAAGAGUUCACAUCGACGGGGAGGUUUGGCACCUCGAUGUCGGCUCAUCGCAUCCUGGGGCUGUAGUCGGUCCCAAGGGUUGGGCUGUUCGCCCAUUAAAGCGGUACGCGAGCUGGGUUCAGAACGUCGUGAGACAGUUCGGUCCCUAUCCGUCGUGGGCGUAGGAAAUUUGAGAGGAGCUGUCCUUAGUACGAGAGGACCGGGAUGGACAUACCUCUGGUGUACCAGUUGUCGUGCCAACGGCAUAGCUGGGUAGCUAUGUAUGGACGGGAUAAGUGCUGAAAGCAUCUAAGCAUGAAGCCCCCCUCAAGAUGAGAUUUCCCAACUUCGGUUAUAAGAUCCCUCAAAGAUGAUGAGGUUAAUAGGUUCGAGGUGGAAGCGUGGUGACACGUGGAGCUGACGAAUACUAAUCGAUCGAAGACUUAAUCAA